rnacentral:rRNA from 1 species
CAUGCAAGUAGAACGCACAGUUUAUACCGUAGCUUGCUACACCAUAGACUGUGAGUUGCGAACGGGUGAGUAACGCGUAGGUAACCUGCCUGGUAGCGGGGGAUAACUAUUGGAAACGAUAACUAAUACCGCAUAAUAUUAAUUAUUGCAUGAUAAUUAAUUGAAAGGUGCAAUUGCACCACUACCAGAUGGACCUGCGUUGUAUUAGCUAGUAGGUGAGGUAACGGCUCACCUAGGCGACGAUACAUAGCCGACCUGAGAGGGUGAUCGGCCACACUGGGACUGAGACACAGCCCAGACUCCUACGGGAGGCAGCAGUAGGGAAUCUUCGGCAAUGGACGAAAGUCUGACCGAGCAACGCCGCGUGAGUGAAGAAGGUUUUCGGAUCGUAAAGCUCUGUUGUAAGAGAAGAACGGGUGUGAGAGUGGAAAGUUCACACUGUGACGGUAUCUUACCAGAAAGGGACGGCUAACUACGUGCCAGCAGCCGCGGUAAUACGUAGGUCCCGAGCGUUGUCCGGAUUUAUUGGGCGUAAAGCGAGCGCAGGCGGUUAGAUAAGUCUGAAGUUAAAGGCUGUGGCUUAACCAUAGUACGCUUUGGAAACUGUUUAACUUGAGUGCAGAAGGGGAGAGUGGAAUUCCAUGUGUAGCGGUGAAAUGCGUAGAUAUAUGGAGGAACACCGGUGGCGAAAGCGGCUCUCUGGUCUGUAACUGACGCUGAGGCUCGAAAGCGUGGGGAGCGAACAGGAUUAGAU